rnacentral:rRNA from 1 species
UACGGAGGGGACUAGCGUUGUUCGGAAUUACUGGGCGUAAAGCGCACGUAGGCGGAUUUGUAAGUCAGGGGUGAAAUCCCGGAGCUCAACUCCGGAACUGCCUUUGAUACUGGGGAUCUUGAGUCCGGAAGAGGUGAGUGGAACUCCGAGUGUAGAGGUGAAAUUCGUAGAUAUUCGGAAGAACACCAGUGGCGAAGGCGGCUCACUGGUCCGGUACUGACGCUGAGGUGCGAAAGCGUGGGGAGCAAACAGG